GACGAACGCUGGCGGCGUGCUUAACACAUGCAAGUCGAACGGACGGGCGCGGCUUUUGUUGGUUUCUCGAUUGGCGAACGGGUGAGUAUCACGUGAGGAUCCUCCCCUUAUCUUUGUGGGAACUUUAGGAGACUGCGGCUAAUAUCGCGUAUAAUCUCUUGCUGCAUGUGGUUCGUUAGAAAGUUUCGGCGUUGGGGGAUGGACUCGCGGGUUAUCAGCUUGUUGGUGGGGUAGUGGCGUACCAAGGCUUUGACGGGUAGCCGGCCUGAGAGGGUGACCGGCGACAUUGGGACUGCGAUACGGACCAGACUGCUACGGGAGGCAGCAGUGGGGAAUAUUGCAGAAUGGGCGGACGCCUGAUGUAGAAACGUCGCGUGCGGGAUGAUGGCCUUCGAGUUGUAAACAGAUUUCGAAUGUGACGAAGAGUGAGUGACGGUAAUGGGUCAAGAAGCCCCGGCUAACUACGUG
rnacentral:rRNA from 1 species